UCCUCUUAUGCGCCGAACACCUCUCGAUUCCUCUCCUCUCCUCCUUCAUGAGCGAUCUCCGGCCGAUCCACCGCCGUCGGCGUCGAGAGCCACUACCCGAGCCGACGCCAACCGAACCCCACUCUUCUCCCUUCUCCCUCACUGUGGACUCGUCCCUGACACUACCCCGUGCCCUAGCCAUCCUCACCGGCCGAUCUCCUAUCUACCCUCUCCGAUUCUAUAACCUAAUGCCACCGAACGCCACCGACGACCAUUCGUGCGAGACUGUCGACGACAUUGCAUCCUUCAUUGUUGAUGGAGGCGACGCUGUUAGCCAUAGAUGUAGUGAGCCCUCUAUGCUCCCGAUCCACCUGAGGUCCUUCUCCCACCUCAGCAUCGACGUUGACGUUUCCCCCCUUCGCUUACGUCUCCGGCCGAGGACAGCGAGCAACUUCACAUAGUCUGGAUGUCGACACUGUGAUCUCAGCAGUGAACAACGGUUUGCCUUGCUGUGAGUAGGAGAUGUCAACCCUAGAUGUCAACUUUUGUUGCUUACUGUUACUGUCGGAGAUGAACGGAAUUUGGGUUCGCAAGGGAAGGAGUUAGUGAACAGUAGAGGAUCAUUGUUGUUGGUUGUGAGCCACAUUCAGUGACACCUAGUGGCUAGUGCUAGACUUGGGGGUUUGUCUCUCCAUUGUGGAAUUCAAUGAUAUUUUUUCUCCUCAUAGAGAGAAGACUACACUUGAGCAUGAGCCUAGCUUGUGGUUGCUGCAGUUGGCUUCAAGGUAAGAAGGCCUGAGAUCCCAAGUACUGUAAAUAGACAUGUGGCUGCCAUAAUUGAGUCCUGUUGGGCCAGGUAUAGAUAUCUAUUGCCUGAUGCAGGCAUGGUUAUUAAAUAUUAACAUACUUCUUCACUCGUGCUUCCCCACACACUAACUUAAAUCACAUGUUGAGCUUCAACGAGCCAUGGAAAAGGCCUUCUUUUUCUAGUAUCAUGGAAUCCUUGAAGCCUCUAAUCAAGACUCAGUCACCUCAAUUGUUACAUUCUGAUAUGUCUAGUAUCCAAUAGCCAGAUGAUUGCAUAUUCCUAAGAGAGAUGUGUAUUGUAUCUAUUCUACUUGUCAAAAAGGGUCCCCUUCAAAUUUUGCCUGUCAGAGGAUCAGUGCCAAUGAAGCUGCUGCCAGUUUUCAUUGCAUCACCGCCAACAUGAUCGAUAUAAAGGGAAAGAAAAGAUACAGUGAAGGAAGGCGACAAGGAGAUGCAAGAGGAGUGUGUGA